rnacentral:rRNA from 1 species
GAUGAACGCUAGCAACAGGCUUAACACAUGCAAGUCGAGGGGAAACGGCAUUGAGUGCUUGCACUCUUUGGACGUCGACCGGCGCACGGGUGAGUAACGCGUAUCCAACCUUCCCAUUACUGUGGGAUAACCUGCCGAAAGGCAGACUAAUACCGCAUAGUCUUCGAUGACGGCAUCAGAUUUGAAGUAAAGAUUUAUCGGUAAUGGAUGGGGAUGCGUCUGAUUAGCUUGUUGGCGGGGUAACGGCCCACCAAGGCGACGAUCAGUAGGGGUUCUGAGAGGAAGGUCCCCCACAUUGGAACUGAGACACGGUCCAAACUCCUACGGGAGGCAGCAGUGAGGAAUAUUGGUCAAUGGACGGAAGUCUGAACCAGCCAAGUAGCGUGCAGGAUGACGGCCCUAUGGGUUGUAAACUGCUUUUGUAUGGGGAUAAAGUUAGGGACGUGUCCCUAUUUGCAGGUACCAUACGAAUAAGGACCGGCUAAUUCCGUG